rnacentral:rRNA from 1 species
GCUUCAGCAGGUGCCUGUGUCUCCCCACCUUGGCUGAUCUUGAAAAGUUAAGCAGGACCUGAUUAGUACUUGGAUGGGAGACCACGAGGCAAGUCCAGAGCUGUAAGCU